UACGAAGGGUGCAAACGUUGCUCGGAAUUAUUGGGCGUAAAGCGCACGUAGGCGGCUUUGCAAGUCGGAUGUGAAAUCCCUCGGCUUAACCAAGGAAGUGCAUCCGAAACUGCAGAGCUUGAGUACGAAAGAGGAUCGCGGAAUUCCCGGUGUAGAGGUGAAAUGCGUAGAUAUUGGGAGGAACACCAGUGGCGAAGGCGGCUCACUGGACCGGUACUGACGCUGAGGCGCGAAAGCGUGGGGAGCAAACAGG
rnacentral:rRNA from 1 species